CCUACGGGUGGCAGCAGUGAGGAAUAUUGGUCAAUGGACGAGAGUCUGAACCAGCCAAGUAGCGUGAAGGAUGACUGCCCUAUGGGUUGUAAACUUCUUUUAUAUGGGAAUAAAAUGUUCCACGUGUGGGAUUUUGUAUGUACCAUAUGAAUAAGGAUCGGCUAACUCCGUGCCAGCAGCCGCGGUAAUACGGAGGAUACGAGCGUUAUCCGGAUUUAUGGGGGUUAAAGGGAGCGUAGGUGGAUUGUUAAGUCAGUUGUGAAAGUUUUUGGCUCAACCGUAAAAUUGCAGUUGAAACUGGCAGUCGUGUGUACAGUAGAGGUGGGCGGAAUUCGUGGUGUAGCGGUGAUGUGCUUAGAUGUCACGAAGAACUCCGAUUGCGAAGGCAGCUCACUGGACUGCAACUGACACUGAGGGUCGUAAGUGUGGGUAUCAAACAGGAUUAGCUACCCUUGUAGUC
rnacentral:rRNA from 1 species